ACGGGUGAGUAACACGUGAGUAACCUGCCCUUAACUCUGGGAUAAGCCUGGGAAACUGGGUCUAAUACCGGAUAUGACUCCUCAUCGCAUGGUGGGGGGUGGAAAGCUUUUUUGUGGUUUUGGAUGGACUCGCGGCCUAUCAGCUUGUUGGUGAGGUAAUGGCUCACCAAGGCGACGACGGGUAGCCGGCCUGAGAGGGUGACCGGCCACACUGGGACUGAGACACGGCCCAGACUCCUACGGGAGGCAGCAGUGGGGAAUAUUGCACAAUGGGCGCAAGCCUGAUGCAGCGACGCCGCGUGAGGGAUGACGGCCUUCGGGUUGUAAACCUCUUUCAGUAGGGAAGAAGCGAAAGUGACGGUACCUGCAGAAGAAGCGCCGGCUAACUACGUGCCAGCAGCCGCGGUAAUACGUAGGGCGCAAGCGUUAUCCGGAAUUAUUGGGCGUAAAGAGCUCGUAGGCGGUUUGUCGCGUCUGCCGUGAAAGUCCGGGGCUCAACUCCGGAUCUGCGGUGGGUACGGGCAGACUAGAGUGAUGUAGGGGAGACUGGAAUUCCUGGUGUAGCGGUGAAAUGCGCAGA
rnacentral:rRNA from 2 species